rnacentral:lncRNA from 1 species
UUGUAAUAUUGAUUCUUCCAGCAAAGACCAUUUUUCCAGUUGGAGUAUCAGUUCUUUUUCUCUUAGUUGUAGUGAAUCAGAAUAUGCACUAGACAUCUGGUGUUGUAAGGCUUCCAGUUCUUUACGGCUGACCUCAAUUUUCUGUGAGAUUGUCUUAAAUUCUCUGGUAUUUAGAGAUUUCAAGACUGGUUUAAGAGACUUGAGGUUGUUCCACACUCCUCGAAGGGUAGGCUGAGCAUUGGCAUUCCAGGAAGCUUUGACUAAUUGCUGGAAAUCCUGAUGCUGUAUCCAUGCAUUAAAGAAUCUAAAAGGUGUUCUCCUGAUUGAAACAUCCUCUAUCAAGGUCAGUAUCAUGGGGUUAUGAUCAGAUACUAGUGGGGCUCCAUAUACUGUAUGCACAUGGCUUCAUUUUAGCAUCCACUCACAAAACAUCUAUCCAGACGACUGCAUACUCUAUCAUCUCCACCUUGCUUAUUAGACCAGGUAAAAAAAUCUCCCUUCAAGGCAGUUCAGUCAGGCCAGCAUGCUGCACACAUUGAAUAAAAUCAGUAACUUCAGCUAAUCUAACUUGAUGACAAGAUUCUCUAUCAGUGCUGGACAUAAUAGCAUUAAAAUN